GCCAGGCAUGGUGGCGGGUGCCUGUAAUCCCAGCUACUUGGGAGGCUGAGGCAGGAGAAUUGCUUGAACCCAGGAGGCAGAGGUUGCAGUGAGCCAAGAUGAUGCCACUGCAUUCCAGCCUAGGUGAUAGAGCGAGACUCUGUCUCAA
rnacentral:SRP_RNA from 1 species